UCAUAUUUGUCUUCUUUCUGCGAGUACUUAUCCUCUGCAGCCAUUAAUGCUUUCAAGGUUUGAUCCAUUAUUCUUAACUGUUCUUCCAGCUGUCGGACUUGGCUUUCUGAUAGUUCAGCACGCUCCUCAGCCCGCUCCAGGUCACCCUCAAUGAUCACGAGCUUACGAGCCACCUCUUCAUACUUGCGGUCAGCCUCUUCAGCAAUGUGCUUAGCUUCUUUAAGCUGGAUCUCUUGGAUUUCCAUCUUCUCUUCAUCCUUCUGGGCUCUAUUUUCAAUGACCUUCAUUCCUCUUUCACUCUCAUCUGCAGCCUUCUCAGCCUCCUCCAGCUUCUGCAGGGCAGUAGCCAAGCGCUCCUGAGCCCGAUCCAACUCUUCCUCAACCAGUUGGAUGCGUCUGUUCAGGGAAGCUACUUCACUCUCAGCCUCCUCCCGCAGGGCCCGCUCCUGGUCCACCUCCCGCUGCAGCCUGCCCGCCCGCUCCUCCGCGGCGUCCGCCUGCUCCUGCAGGCUGCGGAUCUUCCUCCGCACGGCCUCCAGCGAGCUCAUCGCCGCCAUGCCCGCGACGUCCGAUCGGCUCCGACCCGCUCCGUGCCUCGCCACCGGUCUGCGCCGCCUCCCUCCCUCCGCCCCAGCCCCGGAAGUCCUCCGCGCCGCGCCGCACACCGGGGCGGGGCUGGCGACACCGAGCGGGAGGGGAGCGGCGCUGGGAGGCGGCGGGGCACCGCGCCGUUCCGCGCCGGGGUGGGGCGGGCGCCGGGCGAGGCCGGGGCCGGCGGGGAGAGGCUCGGCGACGGGGCCGGGCCGCCAGGUGGGCGCGGAGCGGUGGCGCCCUCUGGCGGCGGCCCCGCUCCCUGCCGUAGCCCUGAGGCGCCCCGGCUGAGCGGGGUAAAGCGCCCCGUCCUUCGCCCGGGCGAGUUCCCGGGACGAGGGGCUGCGGCCCCGUCAGGCGCAGGGCUGAACCCGGGGCCGAAGGAUGCGCGCCGCGAUGCCGAGGCUCGGAACUAUCCAAACGAGUCGAGCAAACACCGGGUCACCGCAGUGCCCCAAGACACUCCACAUGGCCCAAAAGCACGGCAUCCCGACAUUCCACGCGCACCAGAAUAUCUCCCCUGGAUCUGUAUGCGGUUCCUUUGAACGAGUCCAAUAAGCGCCCUGCUAGGAAGUGCCUCUCCUCCGUGCGGCCUCGCUCAGAAGAAGACAGACAUCUGAUCCACAUUAAACACAGAACCCCUCUCUCAUCCUUACGUGCGCUUCUUACUGAGGUCUCUGUCAAAACUACACCACUUAAUCGCUUCGCUUUAUGGUUUGCUCUUUGUAAAAGUAAAAUCAGAUAAAAGUGUGUUGUCUUUGAUGCCAAGUUGGCUUUAGCAACGUUUCCCUUUCUAAAAGUAUCCUUCCUCCUCUUUGCUCUUAACUGUGACAACUCCUCCUUAGCUUUGAGGCCAGUUCUGAAAGCUGCGCUAUAGGAAAAGGGCAGUCAUGGCUUUGGAAGCGCUGCGGUUUCACCCCGUCCUGUAAUUCAGACCCGAGAAGUAUUUGGAGAGAACUGGGUUGGACUGUAGCCACACUGGGCUUUCUGGGCCUUAUCUGCAGGAACAGGAAACUUGCAUCGCUCCAUGCGUGUAAUACAUUAAUUAGAUGCAUGUCAGGGGCGGACAGGUGGGUGGGCUGAGGCC
rnacentral:lncRNA from 1 species